rnacentral:rRNA from 1 species
UACGUAGGUGGCAAGCGUUGUCCGGAUUUACUGGGCGUAAAGAGCGCGCAGGCGGUCGUUCAAGUCGCGUGUGAAAGCCCCCGGCUCAACUGGGGAGGGUCACGCGAUACUGAUCGACUCGAAGGCAGGAGAGGGAAGUGGAAUUCCCGGUGUAGUGGUGAAAUGCGUAGAUAUCGGGAGGAACACCAGUGGCGAAGGCGACUUCCUGGCCUGUUCUUGACGCUGAGGCGCGAAAGCUAGGGGAGCAACGGGAUUAAGAAACCCCGGU